ACAAAGACAACAAUGCCUUGCAUGGCUAUGAAGUCAAAACAAGUGGAAAUAGAACAUUUUUCCUCAGACCAAACACCGAGUGGCUUAAAAGGAAAAUAAAUAAUGGAGCUCUGCCGUGUCCUCCAGUGAUUUCUAAAUCAUGAUGAUGGAAACGAUGAAACAAAGUAAAGCAGCAAAUGGAAACAGUUCUGCUGAUUUAUGAUUUCACACUUUUACAGAAAUAUUUGUUAAGAAAUGAUGAUUAUUGUUUGUAAAUUAUAGAUAGAAAUUAAAAACCACUUUUGUUUUCAUAUUUAGUAAAAAUGUCAUUAAAUAUGAAUGUUCGAUUUUUUCUUAUUCUAUCUUCAAGCUGUGAACAAAGACAAAAUCAAUAAAAG